CUAGUGGGUGGCUGCCGACUCUUGAGAGGACCUGCAACUUAAUCCCCGGGUUUGCCAACUUGUAUUGUAGGUUUAGUACAGGUUGUAACCUCUACCUCAGGUUUUGGGGCAAUUCAUUGUGUCGCUGGAUGAAGGGAUCACUGCCUCUGAAUUUCUGUGGGGUGAGGGGGGAUCACAGUGAAUUAAUGUCAGGUAGACUCUAUUCAAUAUUUAGACACCCAAAUGCAGCUACAAGAUUGUUGUUGCAGCUGGGCUUUUUUUUUUUUUAACCAUUACUCUCACACAAUUACGGUGCAACAAUGGCAAGAUAAAAAUGAAAGGCAAGACAUACUGACACAGCUAUAAUAAUAUUAUAUUCAUUAACCAUAAACAACUUUGCUUUUCUGCUAUGCACUGAAAGUCUCCCUUAAUAGAGAAUAAUGUAACGGACAAAUUGGGAACAAUAAAUUGCAUAGAAACUGUUGCCUUAGUGUUUCAUGAGCUAACGGAAAAUGUGAGCGCCCAGUCAAGUAAUAGAACAUGGGAGGCCAAAAAUCGGGCAGAUAUAGAUCGAGCAAGUUUGAUUUUUGUCUUUGAUCCAGGACCGCAUCAGCUAGUUGAUGAAGUGACCCAUCAGCGCCCAUUCACAGAAUUGUAAUCUGAUCGUUUGGCCCCAGGGCUGAAUGUUCGGAUUAACUUGAUAUCGCCCAACCGUUAGUGGGCAUAUCGGGUUAAGAUCCGCUCGUUUGGCGACCUCUAACAGUGUACGCCCACCUUUAGUCAGCGACUCUCUCUGGACGUGAGUAACUGAGUGCUUCAGAAAAGACCCCUGCAGCUUUCACUGUGAGCAGAAAAACCUCUGGACAUGAGUAACUAAGUGCUUCAGUGAGUGCUUCAGAACAGACCCCUGCAGCUUUCACUGUGAGCAGAAAAACCUCUGUACCUAUGUGUCUCUCAAAAGCUCACUGACAGCUGCUAACACUGGAGGGGGGGUACGGCAGGGGCAGGGCCCUGAGACAGUAAUCCCGAUGGGCCCCGGACCCCCAGCCCGACCCUGACAACAUAUGUAAGGGCAUAGCCUGCCGCUAGACAUGUAAAGUCAAAUGUGGUAAUAGCUAAGCUGGGAUGCAAGAAUAUGAUAGAAAAAUUUUUUAUUUCAGAUACUGGAGCAUACAACUACCAGCAUCCUACCUGCUAGUGCAGGAAUAUGUGGAAGUGCCACAACAGGAUCAAACUUUUUGUUUUAUAUGUGACAUUUGGUACUAAAGUUACACUUCCUACGCUAAAUGCAGAACCCCCUGUACCCCCUCAGUGGGGGCCCCCGUUACUGCCUCAGAGAUCUCUGUAUGUCUCUAGCCAUUGCUAAAGUACCCAGCAGUCCCCGUGAUAACUAGUAGCUGAGCUGUAGUUCAGUUACAGACAGAGAUCUAAACAGGGCCGUCAUUAAAUGGGGACAGGGGGGGUCUAGUCAGGGAUCCCUGGUGAUCUGAUGGGGGCCCUGGUUCUAAAGCUGCUUAUGUUUAUAGUUUAUUAGUGUUGUUUCAGAAUGUGCAAUUUUGAUAUGUAUGCGAUUGGCUGUCAGUUACUGGGAUAUCAUGCUUUAUCUCAGUGACAUCACUCCCAGCUCAGCUCUGAUUGUCUGAAAGUUGCAAGGAAGGUGAUUUAACGGCUCAGGUACAGAUGACUGUUAUUUAAUUUCUGUAUUCAGAGGUAAGUGCAGAAGAUCCAUCCACGGGGAACAGGGGGGGCAUAUUUAGAUGAUACAAAGGGCAAUUUCGGGUGUUUUUUCACCCAUCAUUUAUAAUAGCUUGGGUAGUGAGGCUAUCGCCCCAAAAAUUGCCUCACUGCCUACCACUCUAAUUGCUUGGGGAGCUGCUUGUCAUGAAACUGGUCCAAAUGGCAUCUGUGUGACAAGCAGGAAUGGGGGGGGGGUAAUUUAAGACAACUUGGCAUUACAUUCCUGCAACAAACACACUAUGAUUGUAUAAGAUACAUUGUGCUCUCUGGGUAUUACUUUGUAAACAUGUGAAAUUUCUGCAAUUGGACAUGGGGACUGCAGCCUGUUGAGAGGCAUUGAACAUAUAUUCAAAUAAACUUAGUAUUAAUCAGAUACAGAUACCUAGAUAUUACACUUAUACAGGGUAUCACCUGAAAAUGGGUUUCUGAUGGCAGCCCUGACCCCCAAUCAACUAACGCAUGUGGGUGUCAAAGUGCCUAAAAUCUCCCCAUAUGCCAUCUCUAAAGGGAGUGAGACCAUAAAAACUUAUAGUUCUAAGGCAAUCGGUGUUUGGUUUACAUGUUGCAUUUGAAGCAUUAGACAAUUUUUUCUGCUGUAAAUGCCAGAGGUCAUUUUCCAACAGUCGCACUCAUCCUAUCAACAGUCAGUGGCCUCAGCACUAGAGUGGGUGACAGUUCAGAGAGGCGUAAGUAGAAAGACAAGUAGCUCAAAUCAGAAGAAUAAAUGUCUGCCCUUAGGAUUCCUGGCAUUAUGGGUGCAGGGGCACUGAUCAGAACACAGCUGGUUAUGGGAAGCAGGCACACUAGGUACAUGCAGGGGGAAAGGGAAACCAAUAGGAAUAUGGAGAUGACCCCUGUAUUAAUAUAACCAAGGAUUCAUAGAGCAUGAUGGGAUCUGUAGUGCUGUUACAAGCCCUCCCUGAUCAUGACAUUAUAAGCAAUACAAAUGCUACUUACCUCUUAUGGCCAACCCUUAUAGUGUAUCAUGGGAGAUGAUGAAGGCCCUUUCCACAUGCCAGUGAUAAAAGCCUACAUCCUGAUUGCCCAAUAUUUUUGUUAGCUAAAUAGCACAUGCAACAGCAGUCAGGCUCCCUCACUUCCAAUUACAGCCUGAUAGUGAGUGCAUUAUGGGAUCUGUAGUUUAUGCAUUGGCAUACUAUUUUUAAUCAUAGUGUAGAAGGAUAAAUAGCUGACUGCCAUUUAGGGCAUCUGGGGCUCUAGAAGUGUCAGGGUCCACAGCCCCCAUUAUGCUCCUGCUCACAAUCUCUUAUUAUUUCUCCCCAAAAAGUGAAAUAUUCUGAGCAAUUUGCAAGAGACCGAUUUGAGAGAGAAAGCGAUUGUGAGAGAGACGGCAAAAGAAGAAGAGAGAGAGAAGCGAAGAGAAGACAAAGAAGACCUUGAGUGACCCCCUGCCAGAGAUUAAUACCAUCUUCUCAUUUGGGAUCCUCUGGACAAAGGGGUGUCGGAGAUGGGCUUGUGUUCAAGCAAGGACCGCCUUUACAUAAAAGGCUAUCGCCAGGACUCACAGUGGAUCUACAGGAAGGAGGAGGGGAUCUGUGAGAUGACGGAUUUGGAGCGCAUGAGGAACAAAAUCAUAGGCAAAAUCAAAUGGACAAGCUAUGAUUAUUGUAUGGCCAGAGACUGCCUGGAAUUCACCAGGUGGUGGAAAAUCAGAUUGAUGGCUGAGGUCCUGCAGGACAAGAUGAAGGCUAAAGCCCAACUAAAAUCCCUCUAUAAACAACUAGAGGAGAUAAACCAGGCAAUUUUCACGAAGUUCAUCAAUACAUAUCCAGGUGCAGUAUCUAAUGAAUAUAUUUGUUCAAUUAUUACUAUUUUGUAAUGGGGCUGAUAUAUUGAAAGCCAUUGCAAUGCUACAAUUUUGUGUAAAACAACUACAAAAAGAACAUAUAAAUCCUGCGCAGCUGAAACCUAUUGAGAUGCCAUAGAAACUAAUAGGAAGUGUAUCUUCAUCAUUUUGGCAAGGAAUUGGGAUUGGGAUCAAAUGGCUUGAAAAUGCAGUGAAACCUGCGAUUUGCAACUUGUCCCAUAAUCACAGAGGGAAAUGGUACAUUAGCAUUAAGUAAUGUUAAUUUGCAUAGCUGCCAUAUUUCUGAUUAAAUUUAAAAUCCCCCAAAAUGUUAUAGAAUUUCUACAGAGAUAUCACUUGCUAAGGUAAAACCCUUGGGUACAAGUUUAACAUUAUUUUGUUUGAUUUUGCUGAGAGCCCACCAGCCACCAGCACUGUCACAGUUUACACGGUACCACGUAUUGAUGCACCUCUGUGUAGGUGAUCUUCAUGACACAAGUGAAUGAGCAAUUCUCAAUUCCACCAGCGGUGCCUCCACUCCAAUACACCAUGAUUCCACCAGUGGUGCUCCCCCCUUACACCUAAAAUAUGGUUCCAUAGACAGGAGCACCCUUAGGCCACUUGGUAGACCCUGCAUUACUUUUCAAUCCAUCCCUCAAACUGCAGAACCCGGGUCUGCAGGCUGCCUGGGAUCCAAUGGAAUGAAGAGGAAUGCAGAGUUCACUUUGUAGCUUAAUGGUGUUCAUGUAUAUGUAGCCAUAUUCCCUUCUAUUUUAGUUCCCUUCACCGCAAUUCCAACCACAGUGUCCCUUAUUUCCCCAAUUAUUUCUACCGUAAUUCCACCAGCUGUGCCACACUUACACCUAAAAUAUGG